GGCAAGGGCUUCUAAGAAGCCAUCCCAAUGACCUUUUGGCUUUGAGAAGAGCAGUCCUCAUACCAGAGUGUUUGGGGUUUUCGCCUUUUUCAGUGUUUAUUCAUUCUUACAUGGGAAAGUCGUAUUCUGAGGUUUCUGUGGUGCAUGAAGCUUUUGCCUUCACCAUCUGUUCCCGUGUCUUCCUCGGGUGACAUCAGAGUACAGCAGUAUUUUCCCUUGCCAUCUAAUGGGGUUUUGGGCUGUUUGACUCAACCGUGUGUGUUCCUCAAUGCCAGGAGAAUAAUCCUACCCUAAGUCAGCUGAACAGAAGCCAGGAUCUAACUGCAAACAAGAGACCCAGCUUUCUUAACAGCAUGGAAGAGACCAGUUUUGUUGCAGCUACCUGGGAAGAUGGUUGCUAAUUAGCCUGCAACAAAGAGUUCCUUGCUCAUCUAAAACAGGCAAUCACUGUUCGGGUGAAGCUUUGUUCUAAGAAUAUUUGUUUCAUCUAGUUUAUGAGCCCAAAUGAUAUAGACUCUAAAUGUUACAGCAGUGGUGAAAGACUGCUCGGUCAUGAGCACCGACAGUAACUCAUUGGCACGUGAAUUUCUGACCGACGUCAACCGGCUUUGCAAUGCAGUGGUCCAGAGGGUGGAGGCCAGGGAGGAAGAAGAGGAGGAGACGCACAUGGCAACCCUUGGACAGUACCUUGUCCAUGGCCGAGGAUUUCUGUUACUUACCAAGCUAAAUUCUAUAAUUGAUCAGGCAUUGACAUGUAGAGAAGAACUCCUGACUCUUCUUCUGUCUCUCCUUCCACUGGUAUGGAAGAUACCUGUCCAAGAAGAAAAGGCAACAGAUUAUAAUCUACCGCUCUCAGCAGAUAUAAUCCUGACCAAAGAAAAGAACUCAAGUUCACAAAGAUCCACUCAGGAAAAAUUACAUUUAGAAGGAAGUGCCCUGUCUAGUCAGGUUUCUGCAAAAGUAAAUGUUUUUCGAAAAAGCAGACGACAGCGUAAAAUUACCCAUCGCUAUUCUAUAAGAGAUGCAAGAAAGAUACAGCUCUCCACCUCAGAUUCAGAAGCUAAUUCAGAUGAAAAAGGCAUAGCAAUGAAUAAGCAUAGAAGGCCCCAUCUGCUGCAGCAUUUUGUAACAUCGUUUCCUAAACAAGACCACCCUAAAGCUAAACUUGACCACUUAGCAACCAAAGAAGAACAGACUCCUCCAGAUGCUAUGGCUUUGGAAAAUUCCAGAGAGAUUAUUCCAAGACAGGAGUCAAACACUGACAUUUUAAGUGAGCCAGCUGCCUUGUCUGUUAUCAGUAACAUGAACAAUUCUCCAUUUGACUUAUGUCAUGUUUUGUUAUCUUUAUUAGAAAAAGUUUGUAAGUUUGACAUUACCUUGAAUCAUAAUUCUCCUUUAGCAGCCAGUGUAGUGCCCACACUAACUGAAUUCCUAGCAGGCUUUGGGGACUGCUGCAGUCUGAGCGACAAUUUGGAGAGUCGAGUAGUUUCUGCAGGUUGGACUGAAGAACCGGUGGCUUUGAUUCAAAGGAUGCUCUUUCGAACAGUGUUGCAUCUUCUGUCAGUAGAUGUUAGUACUGCAGAGAUGAUGCCAGAAAAUCUUAGGAAAAAUUUAACUGAAUUGCUUAGAGUAGCUUUAAAAAUUAGAAUAUGCCUAGAAAAGCAGCCUGACCCUUUUGUACCAAGACAAAAGAAAACACUGCAGGAGGUUCAGGAAGAUUUUGUGUUUUCAAAGUAUCGUCAUAGAGCCCUUCUUUUACCUGAGCUUUUGGAAGGAGUUCUUCAGAUUCUGAUCUGUUGUCUUCAAAGUGCAGCUUCAAAUCCCUUCUACUUCAGUCAAGCCAUGGAUUUGGUUCAAGAAUUCAUUCAGCAUCAUGGAUUUAAUUUAUUUGAAACAGCAGUUCUUCAAAUGGAAUGGCUGGUUUUAAGAGAUGGAGUUCCUCCCGAGGCCUCAGAGCAUUUGAAAGCCCUAAUAAAUAGUGUGAUGAAAAUAAUGAGCACUGUCAAAAAAGUGAAAUCAGAGCAACUUCAUCAUUCGAUGUGUACAAGAAAAAGGCACAGACGAUGUGAAUAUUCUCAUUUUAUGCAUCAUCACCGAGAUCUCUCAGGUCUUCUGGUUUCGGCUUUUAAAAACCAGGUUUCCAAAAACCCAUUUGAAGAGACUGCAGAUGGAGAUGUUUAUUAUCCUGAGCGGUGCUGUUGCAUUGCAGUGUGUGCCCAUCAGUGCUUGCGCUUACUACAGCAGGCUUCCUUGAGCAGCACUUGUGUCCAGAUCCUAUCGGGUGUUCAUAACAUUGGAAUAUGCUGUUGUAUGGAUCCCAAAUCUGUAAUCAUUCCUUUGCUCCAUGCUUUUAAAUUGCCAGCACUGAAAAAUUUUCAGCAGCAUAUAUUGAAUAUCCUUAACAAACUUAUUUUGGAUCAGUUAGGAGGAGCAGAGAUAUCACCAAAAAUUAAAAAAGCAGUUUGUAAUAUUUGUACUGUUGACUCUGACCAACUAGCCCAAUUAGAAGAGACACUGCAGGGAAACUUAUGUGAUGCUGAACCCUCCUCAAGUUUAUCUAGUCCUUCUUACAGAUUUCAAGGGAUCCUGCCCAGCAGUGGAUCUGAAGAUUUGUUGUGGAAAUGGGAUGCUUUAAAGGCUUAUCAGAACUUUGUUUUUGAAGAAGACAGAUUACAUAGUAUACAGAUUGCAAAUCACAUUUGCAAUUUAAUCCAGAAAGGCAAUAUAGUUGUUCAGUGGAAACUAUAUAAUUACGUAUUUAAUCCUGUGCUCCAAAGAGGAGUUGAAUUAGCACAUCAUGGUCAACACCUAAGUGUUACUUCAGCUCAAAGUCAUGUAUGUAGCCAUCAUAACCAGUGCUUGCCUCAGGACGUGCUUCAGAUUUAUGUAAAAACUCUGCCUAUCCUGCUUAAAUCCAGGAUAAUAAGAGAUUUGUUUUUGAGUUGUAAUGGAGUAAGUCAAAUAAUCGAAUUAAAUUACUUAAAUGGUAUUCGAAGUCAUUCUCUAAAAGCAUUUGAAACUCUGAUAAUCAGCCUAGGGGAGCAACAGAAAGAUGCCUCAGUUCCAGGUAUUGAUGGGAUAGACAUUGAACAGAAGGAGCUGUCCUCUGUACAUGUGGGUACUUCUUUUAAUCAUCAGCAAGCUUAUUCAGAUUCUCCUCGGAGUCUCAGCAAAUUUUAUGCUGGCCUCAAAGAAGCUUAUCCAAAGAGACAGAAGACUGUUAACCAAGAUGUUCAUAUCAACACAAUAAACCUGUUCCUCUGUGUGGCUUUUUUAUGCAUAAGUAAAGAAGCAGAGUCUGAUAGGGAGUCGGCCAAUGACUCAGAAGAUACUUCUGGCUAUGACAGCACAGCCAGUGAGCCUUUAAGUCAUAUGCUGCCAUGUUUAUCUCUCGAGAGCCUUGUCUUGCCUUCUCCUGAAUAUAUGCACCAAGCUGCAGACAUUUGGUCUAUGUGUCGUUGGAUCUACAUGUUGAGUUCAGUCUUCCAGAAACAGUUUUAUAGGCUUGGUGGUUUCCGAGUAUGCCAUAAGUUAAUAUUUAUGAUAAUACAGAAACUGUUCAGAAGUCACAAAGAGGAGCAAGGAAAAAAGGAGGGAGAUACAAAUGUAAAUGAAAACCAGGAUUUAAACAGAAUUUCUCAACCUGAGAUAACUAUGAAGGAAGAUUUAUUAUCUUUGGCUAUAAAAAGUGACCCCAUACCAUCAGAACUAGGUAGUCUAAAAAAGAGUGCUGACAGUUUAGGUAAAUUAGAGUUACAGCAUAUUUCUUCCAUAAAUGUGGAACAAGUUUCAGCUACUGAAACCGCUCCCGAGGAAGCAAAGCUAUUUACAAGUCAAGAAAAUGAGACCUCACUUCAGAGUAUACGACUUUUGGAAGCCCUUUUGGCCAUUUGUCUUCAUGGUGCCAGAACUAGUCAACAGAAGAUGGAAUUGGAGUUACCUAAUCAGAACUUGUCUGUGGAAAAUAUAUUAUUUGAAAUGAGGGACCAUCUUUCCCAGUCAAAGGUGAUUGAAACACAACUAGCAAAGCCUUUAUUUGAUGCCCUGCUUCGAGUUGCCCUCGGGAAUUAUUCAGCAGAUUUUGAACAUAAUGAUGCUAUGACUGAGAAGAGUCAUCAAUCUGCAGAAGAAUUGUCAUCCCAGCCUGGUGAUUUUUCAGAAGAAGCUGAGGAUUCUCAGUGUUGUAGUUUUAAACUUUUAGUUGAAGAAGAAGGUUACGAAGCAGAUAGUGAAAGCAAUCCUGAAGAUGGCGAAACCCAGGAUGAUGGGGUAGACUUAAAGUCUGAAACAGAAGGUUUCAGUGCAUCAAGCAGUCCAAAUGACUUACUCGAAAACCUCACUGAAGGGGAAAUAAUAUAUCCUGAGAUUUGUAUGCUGGAAUUAAAUUUGCUUUCUGCUAGUAAAGCCAAACUUGAUGUGCUUGCCCAUGUAUUUGAGAGUUUUUUGAAAAUUAUUAGGCAGAAAGAAAAGAAUGUUUUUCUGCUCAUGCAACAGGGAACUGUGAAAAAUCUUUUAGGAGGGUUCUUGAGUAUUUUAACACAGGCCGAUUCUGAUUUUCAAGCAUGCCAGAGAGUAUUGGUGGAUCUUUUGGUAUCUUUGAUGAGUUCAAGAACAUGUUCAGAAGAGCUAACCCUUCUUUUGAGAAUAUUUCUGGAGAAAUCUCCUUGUACAAAAAUUCUUCUUCUGGGUAUUCUGAAAAUUAUUGAAAGUGAUACUACUAUGAGCCCUUCACAGUAUCUAACCUUCCCUUUACUGCACACUCCAAAUUUAAGCAACGGUGUUUCAUCGCAAAAGUAUCCUGGGAUUUUAAACAGUAAGGCCAUGGGUUUAUUGAGAAGAGCACGAGUUUCACGGAGCAAGAAAGAGGCUGAUAGAGAGAGUUUUCCCCAUCGGCUGCUUUCAUCUUGGCACAUAGCCCCUGUCCACCUGCCGUUGCUGGGGCAAAACUGCUGGCCACACCUAUCAGAAGGUUUCAGUGUUUCACUGUGGUUUAAUGUGGAGUGUAUCCAUGAAGCUGAGAGUACCACAGAAAAAGGAAAGAAAAUAAAGAAAAGAAACAAAUCAUUAAUUUUACCAGAUAGCAGUUUUGACGGUACAGGUAUGAUGACAGGAUUAUCUGAUUUGUUCACAAAGAUUGUUUUCAGACUAUAAUUUUCCUUGAGCUGUAAAAAUGUGGUAGUGUUCUUAACACUCUUAACAUGUUCCUCACCUUAAAUGCCUUACU
rnacentral:sRNA from 1 species